GGCCUUCGGGAACGUCUGACACAGGUGCUGCAUGGCUGUCGUCAGCUCGUGUCGUGAGAUGUUGGGUUAAGUCCCGUAACGAGCGCAACCCUUGUCCUUAGUUACCAGCACGUUAUGGUGGGCACUCUAAGGAGACUGCCGGUGACAAACCGGAGGAAGGUGGGGGAUGACGUCAAGUCAUCAUGGCCCUUACGGCCUGGGCUACACACGUGCUACAAUGGUCGGUACAAAGGGUUGCCAAGCCGCGAGGUGGAGCUAAUCCCAUAAAACCGAUCGUAGUCCGGAUCGCAGUCUGCAACUCGACUGCGUGAAGUCGGAAUCGCUAGUAAUCGUGAAUCAGAAUGUCACGGUGAAUACGUUCCCGGGCCUU
rnacentral:rRNA from 1 species